CACAAGUACAUUUUGCCUUUUGUCUUUUUCAUGGCCAUAUUUUGUCAAUUAUUGUCAGCGCAUGUCAAUUUAGAAGGAGAGUUUUUGUUAUUUUUUAAAAUAUUCAUGUUCAUUUACUACGAGCGUAAACACCACCAGGCGUCAUAGUCGUUGUUUUAUUUGAGAUAAACUAGAAAUCUCCCACUAUUUAUCACAAAAAAGAAAGAAAACAAGAGGAGUUACCACAAUCUUGGUGCCGCAGCCAGUGAAGGGGGCGGAGGCCGUCAGGUGGGUGCUGUUGUAGCUGACGGGGCAGGCGGGGCUGUUGAGCUGCAGCUCCGCCAGGUUGACGUUGCUCAGGGAGGCGACGGGCAGCACCAGCGUAAUCGCCGUCUUCUCGCACGUCAGCACUGCGGGGUCGACGGCGUUAAAAUUGAAAGUCACUCAAAAUCUUUAAACCACUUGAAUACAAAAACAAUAUAUUUUUUUUCUCCACCUGUUCCAACAGGCAGCGUCUUCAUCUCCCCUGGAGAGAAGAGAGAGAAAGAGCACAUUUUUAUUGGUGGAAGGUCGACCCGGCGAGUGUGUGCGUUUUCUCUCAGAGGACGGCGGUCUUACUUUGGUACAGCCACACACACCGAGGCUCCGACUGCAAACUGGAAAGACAAGAAGUGCCAAUCAAAACCGGGGUCGCGUGCCAACUAUGGAUUUCUGACUGGCAGAGUCACCAGGCAGCCUCAGCGGGCAUUUCAGUCCACGGCACAACUUACCUCUCGGUAUUUGCUGCGAAGCAGACGGGCAGCAGCCGGGGCAGCCGGUUUUCGGAGCGGACCCAGGCCAUCGUCAUGGACGCCAGGUUGCCGAUGGACUUGAAACAGACCCUGAAGAGUUCAGGGGGGCCGACCACCGCCACCUCCAAAACACUGGCAACAGAGAGAGAGAGAGAGACCUUUAGUUUCCGCUCCAUACUCCCUCCAGUGUGUCCAGAAAGCCUCUAAAAGGAGGCGUCCUGAUCAGAGGCCCCCAAACCAACUGCGUUGGCCGAUUCUGUCUCUGCUCCGCGGUUUUCUCUCUUCAAAUACUCGAGCAGCGACUCACUCCCAAUCCAUAAUUUCCCUGCAGAGAACCGUGCCGUCAGACUCGGAGGUACCCGACUCUCAUCCUGACGGCUUCGCACUCGAAGGUCCAACAGAAUCACAUCAUCUGCAUACAGUCGAAAGGUCUUUCAGGGGUUCCCCCGAACCGGAUACAAUAAAGUUGUGAUUUUGAGCUAUACAAAUAAAUUGAAUUGAAAAAUGAAAGAAGGUAUAUACAAGGACGCACCUCUGCCGCUGUGAUGUGAAGUCAGUGUUGAAUUUGACCUCCUGGAAGGGCAGCAUGAACAGCGUGGUGUCCUCCUCGGGGGUCUCACCCGAUGCCACAGGCUCAUCGAGGCAGCUGGACUUCGACUCCUCCACUGAAAGGAAGGACGUCAAAAUAUUCUCUGACCAUUCUGUUAUACCCGCGAUGCAGAGUAAAACACCCGACCGACGGACUAACCGGUGAGAGAGAGGUGCACCGGGACCGAGCUGAGGGGUUUGUUGUCUGUGACUAGUCUGGAUUUGGGCACAGGAAUCCGGUCCUCCGCCAUCAGGUGGAUGAAAUACUGUCCUGCUGGCGCGUUUCCAGUGAAUGUCAACAUGCAUUUCUCCUGGGGAAAGAGUUGAGAAGAUGUAGGACAAGAAGUAACAUUAGUGGGCAGACAAACGUCUGUUUGAGAGACAUCGGGGAUGCAAAAGAUGGACGUAGAAAAUACAUAGAGCAAGACAGUUUGAACUCUUGAGCUCCGGGGGGCGCUAUAGAAUCCCUUUUGGCAACAAAAAAUAUAUUUAAGAAGUCCUUUGUCCAAAAUGCCUUUCAAAUUCUUAACUCAACAAAGUAGCUGAGUUAAUGUAUAUAUAUAUAUAUAUAUAUAUAUAUAUAUAUAUAUAUAUAUAUAAAUAUAUAAAUAUAUAUAUGUAUAUAUAUAUAUGUAUAUAAAUAUAUAAAUACAUAUAUAUAAAAGGGGCAACGCCGGAAGACUUUGGGGUGGAUUCACCCAUAUCCCUGGCAGAGGUCACUAAGGUAGUCAAAAAGCUCCUUGGUGGCAAGGCGCCAGGGGUGGAUGAGAUCCGCCCUGAGAUGCUGAAAGCGCUGGACAUUGUUGGGCUGUCUUGGUUGACACGCCUUUUCAGUGUCGCAUGGGGGUCGGGAACAGUGCCCAUGGACUGGCAGACCGGGGUGGUGGUUCCCAUCUUCAAGAAGGGGGACCGGAGAGUGUGCUCGAACUAUCGUGGUAUCACACUGCUC
ensembl:lncRNA